AUUGAACGCUGGCGGCAGGCCUAACACAUGCAAGUCGAGCGGAUGAAGGGAGCUUGCUCCUGGAUUCAGCGGCGGACGGGUGAGUAAUGCCUAGGAAUCUGCCUGGUAGUGGGGGAUAACGUCCGGAAACGGGCGCUAAUACCGCAUACGUCCUGAGGGAGAAAGUGGGGGAUCUUCGGACCUCACGCUAUCAGAUGAGCCUAGGUCGGAUUAGCUAGUUGGUGGGGUAAAGGCCUACCAAGGCGACGAUCCGUAACUGGUCUGAGAGGAUGAUCAGUCACACUGGAACUGAGACACGGUCCAGACUCCUACGGGAGGCAGCAGUGGGGAAUAUUGGACAAAGGGCGAAAGCCUGAUCCAGCCAUGCCUCGUGUGUGAAGAAGGUCUUCGGAUUGUAAAGCACUUUAAGUUGGGAGGAAGGGCAGUAAGUUAAUACCUUGCUGUUUUGACGUUACCAACAGAAUAAGCACCGGCUAACUUCGUG
rnacentral:rRNA from 1 species